AGACAACCAAACUCCAUCAAUCAAGAGGAACUUAAUCCAGGGAGGGUUCUUCUGCUCACUGGGUCAGAAGCAUCCGAUUUCCUGUCAUCGGUUGCGGUUCAGCCAUGUUAAUACUGAAAGUAUAAGAAUAUCAUAAUCCCAGAGUGAUAUAAAGACCUUUCCAAGGAAGAUGAGAUACCCGGAGGCUGUGAAGGAGAAGUCUGAAGGAUUUGAACGCGUUCAAAUGAAAACCUUUGGUUCAGCAAAACACCAGAAACAAAUUCAAAAGAUAAAAUACACUCCGGAGAAGCCCAUUCUCUCAACGCAUCUGACAGUUCACAAAGAGCAACUGCAGUCCAACUUAAAAAAUAAAGAAAAUGGUAGGAAAAUGGGCAACAUGCACUGAGGCAAUAUAUAAGAAGAAGGAAUGCGCAAUUAAUCAACAAAAGCCUGCUCUUUCCUAACGAGUGAAGAUACAAGCUUAGUAAAUAUUAAAAUUUAUUGAAGAUAAAAAUGGACACUUCCGGCCAUAUAUAAAAGCAUUGUUGGUAAGAGAGUGGGGUAAUUGACAUGCUCCUGGGAAAUAAUACGCAUUCAGACAACCUCUAAUGAGUGAAUCCACUGGGGGUAUCCACUAGGAAUAGAAAACGACCACCAAUGCCCAAGUUUGUGGUCCAGAAUUUGAGCAGCGAUCUAACAAAGUAGAGUCUCCCCCUGUGUCAUGGGCCCCACUUCUUAAGCAAAGAAGAAUGCCUCAUUUUGGUAACUCACCCAAAUAAACAGAAAUUUUUUUUGAUAAUCUUAUCGCAUUUAUUUGGUUAAGUCUGAGGCAGAAUAUUUUUCUCCUUUGUAUCUUUGUUUUGUUUUGUUUUAAUCCUUGAAGUUUAUUACCAAACUACAUCUUGGUGUUUCUUCAGGAUGUGAACAGGCCUUUCUAUUCUCAAUUAAGUGUUUCUUUCCUUUAAUUCAGGAAUCUUCUAAUCAUGUAUUUUAAUUUCUUUUUCUGUCAUCCCUCCCCACGCCAUAAGCUACCAGUCACUAUACAUGUUGGAGCUCUCUUUAUUGUGCCAUAGAUCUCUGAUGUCAUGUCUUUAGUCAUUAUUUUGUGUCAGAAAUUUUUGUUCUUCCGGGGACAUCUGGCAAUAUCUAGAGACAUGCUACUGGCACCUAUAGAAAUGCUAGUGACUUAUUAUGGGUAGAGGCUAAAGAUGCUGCUAAAUAUCCUACAAUGCCCAGGACAGCCACUGCCACAACAAAGAAUUAUGCAGUCCACAAUGUCCAUAGUGCUAAGGAGAAGAAACCCUGUCCUAGGGUCAAGGUUGGAUGCUGACAAGACUAAUUUCAAGUGAUUUCAAACGAUUGUGGGGAAAAUACCCAGAAGUUGACAGGAGCAAUAUGUAGAUAUUUCCUUCUGUAAAUUAUAUUUCCCUAAUGCUAAUGCUGGAGCAUUUGGAAACACGUGUAUAAAUAUUUGAAGCACAAAACCAGAGAGAUGCUCUUAUGUAUUUAGCUUCUAGUUUUAAAUAAUAGAUACUACAAUAAACCUUGAUUAAACCUUGAUUAUCUG
rnacentral:lncRNA from 1 species